rnacentral:lncRNA from 1 species
CAAAAGGAUCCAAGAAAGUGCUAGCACCUAAUGCAGAAGACCAAGUUGGUAGAAUAACUAGGUAGAAGACAAAGGAACUAUCCUUAGCUGAGAAAGAUCUACAUGGUUCAACUACAAAUACAGAAGAGCACACAUUGAUUUUUGCCAAUUGUCCUGCACAACAUGAUGACGAGAUUCAAAUCUGUGAUGAAGGCCAAACAGAUGCCAUGACAGAUAAAUGGAUAAGGGGAAAAAGUAUGGGCAUGCAAUUGGAACGGAUAAGCCGAGGCUUAAACACAGAUUCCACUGGUCAUCACUGAAGGCAAGAGACGUCCAGAGUUAGAAAAGAUCAAUGAUCUGCAAAAAGGAAUAGAUGAUACUAAUGCUCUCCUUCUCUUUAGCCUCAAUAAGAAGUUGGUCGAUUCAUUUUAGUGUGGUCCUUGUAUCUCAUAUUGCUGUUGUAUGGCCCUGAUUUUGCUGUCCUUUUGGUACUGUCCUUAGCACUCUACUUGAUGCUUGUUUGAUGAAACAUGAUGCUAGUUUUGAAAAUUUUGAAGGGCUUGGUUCUUGAU